GUGAACACCUUCAGUCUGUGGUAAUAGAUUCCUUAUUUAAUGGAACGGACCUUUCCUGUGGAUACCAUAGUGUCAAGAUUUAUGGAGGCCGAAGGUUACCAUCAAACAUGGCACCCCACAAUACUCGGGGUGAUUUUCUCUAACAGAGCUGUGUGCUCUGAUUACCAGCCACUGGCCCUAGUUCUCUCUGCCUUUCAACUGAUGUGCAUAAGACGCAACACAACUGUCACUUUAAAAGUAUGAAUAUCCUGAUUCUUUGACAAACACGACUUUUCCAAGGGAUGUUUAAUUUCGAGAACAGAUACGCAUAUGUAACUAAAUUCUCUUUGUGUUGAUUAAAAAAGUAUGACUUGG
rnacentral:lncRNA from 1 species